rnacentral:rRNA from 1 species
UGCAAGUCGAGCGGACAGAUGGGAGCUUGCUCCCUGAUGUUAGCGGCGGACGGGUGAGUAACACGUGGGUAACCUGCCUGUAAGACUGGGAUAACUCCGGGAAACCGGGGCUAAUACCGGAUGGUUGUUUGAACCGCAUGGUUCAAACAUAAAAGGUGGCUUCGGCUACCACUUACAGAUGGACCCGCGGCGCAUUAGCUAGUUGGUGAGGUAACGGCUCACCAAGGCAACGAUGCGUAGCCGACCUGAGAGGGUGAUCGGCCACACUGGGACUGAGACACGGCCCAGACUCCUACGGGAGGCAGCAGUAGGGAAUCUUCCGCAAUGGACGAAAGUCUGACGGAGCAACGCCGCGUGAGUGAUGAAGGUUUUCGGAUCGUAAAGCUCUGUUGUUAGGGAAGAACAAGUACCGUUCGAAUAGGGCGGUACCUUGACGGUACCUAACCAGAAAGCCACGGCUAACUACGUGCCAGCAGCCGCGGUAAUACGUAGGUGGCAAGCGUUGUCCGGAAUUAUUGGGCGUAAAGGGCUCGCAGGCGGUUUCUUAAGUCUGAUGUGAAAGCCCCCGGCUCAACCGGGGAGGGUCAUUGGAAACUGGGGAACUUGAGUGCAGAAGAGGAGAGUGGAAUUCCACGUGUAGCGGUGAAAUGCGUAGAGAUGUGGAGGAACACCAGUGGCGAAGGCGACUCUCUGGUCUGUAACUGACGCUGAGGAGCGAAAGCGUGGGGAGCGAACAGGAUUAGAUACCCUGGUAGUCCACGCCCGUAAACGAUGAGUGCUAAGUGUUA